AUCCAGCUGAUGAGUCCCGAAUAGGACGAAACGCGCGUCAAACUGGAU
rnacentral:hammerhead_ribozyme from 1 species